AUUCCAUGUUGGGGACAUUUUCUUAACAACUCCUUGUACCAUUCCCAUGUAUCAUACAAGGUUUCAAAGUCCAUUUGCCAAAAAGAGAAAAUGUGACUUCUCGACU